CACGUAGGGCGCAAGCGUUGUCCGGAAUUAUUGGGCGUAAAGAGCUCGUAGGCGGGUCUGUUGCGUCCGCUGUGAAAACCCGGGGCUUAACCCUGGGCUGGCAGUGGAUACGGACAGACUAGAGGUAGGUAGGGGAGAAUGGAAUUCCCGGUGUAGCGGUGAAAUGCGCAGAUAUCGGGAGGAACACCGGUGGCGAAGGCGGUUCUCUGGGCCUUACCUGACGCUGAGGAGCGAAAGCGUGGGGAGCGAA
rnacentral:rRNA from 1 species